AACGAACGCUUGCGGCGCGCCUAAUACAUGCAAGUCGAACGAGAAAGUUUCUUCGGAAGCGAGUACAGUGGCGGACGGGUGAGGAAUACGUAGAUAAUCUGCCUUAAAGUGGGGGAUAACUACUCGAAAGAGUAGCUAAUACCGCAUAAGACCACAGGAACCGAGGUUCUAGGGGUUAAAGGUUUUUCGCUUUAAGAUGAGUCUGCGUCCGAUUAGCUAGUUGGUAAGGUAACGGCUUACCAAGGCGACGAUCGGUACCUGGUCUGAGAGGAUGAUCAGGCACACUGGAACUGAGACACGGUCCAGACUCCUACGGGAGGCAGCAGUAGGGAAUAUUGCACAAUGGAGGAAACUCUGAUGCAGCGACGCCGCGUGAGUGAUGAAGGCCUUCGGGUUGUAAAACUCUGUGUUAAGGGAAGAUAAUGACGGUACCUUAUCAGAAAGGACCGGCUAACUUCGUGCCAGCAGCCGCCGUAA
rnacentral:rRNA from 1 species